rnacentral:ncRNA from 1 species
AACCUCGGGGUGCCUUAUGGCUGAGACAUAUGAAUGAACCCGUUGAACCUGAACCGGUUAGAACCGGCGGAGGGAAGGUCU